GACGAACGCUGGCGGCGUGCCUAAUACAUGCAAGUCGAACGCAGUGGGGACGGGUGAGUAACACGUGGGUAACCUCCCAUCAGAGGGGAUAACACUUGGAAACAGGUGCUAAACCGAUACUGAUGGAUGGACCCGCGGUGCAUUAGCUAGUUGGUGAGGUAACGGCUCACCAAGGCCACGAUGCAUAGACGAACUCAGAGGGGGUUCGGCCACUCGGGGACUGAGAAGCGGACCAGUCUCCUCCGGUAGGCAGCAGUAGAGAAUCUUCGGCAAUGGACGAAAGUCAGACCGGGCAGCGCUGCGUGAGUGAUGAAGUUUUUCGGAUCGUAAAACUCAGUUGUUAGAGAAGCGGUAUCUAACCAGAAAGCCACGGCUAACUACGUGCCAGCAGCCGCGGUAAUUC
rnacentral:rRNA from 1 species